GUUCUCAUUUGCUAGCUCCACCGAAUGGCUUGGUCAGGUCUUUCUUCCAAUAUGAAGAGAGGUGGUUGACACUCCUAAGUUAAGUAACCUAUGAAUGCGAGAGCUGGACCAUAAGGAAGGCUGAGCGAAGGAACCGAAGGCUUUUGAAUUCUGGUGCUGGAGGAAAAUCCUGAGAGUGCCUUGGACCACAAGAAGAUCCAACCAGUCCAUCCUCCAGGAAAUAAUGCCCGACUGCUCACUGGAGGGAAGGAUACUAGAGGCAAAGAUGAAGUAUUUUGGCCACAUCAUGAGAAGACAGGAAAGCUUGGAAAAGAUCAUGAUGCUGGGGAAAAUGGAAGGAAAAAGGAAGAGAGGCCGACCAAGGGCAAGAUGGAUGGACGGUAUCCUUGAAGUGACUGGCUUGACCUUGAAGGAACUGGGGACGGCGACGGCUGACAGGGAGCUCUGGCGUGGACUGGUUCAUGAGGUCACAAAGAGUCGAAAACAACUAUGUGAUUGAAGAAAAAGAAGAAGAAGACAUUUUGACUAUACUUGGGCCAAAAGCAUACUGCAGAACAGCACUAUCAUUUAUGGACAUCUCGAGGGGCAUGUCUACACUGGCCAGAACUCCUGAAUCGAGUCAGAAGUCACUCUCGAACAUCCAUACAACAUCAAAGGGCCUCUGGCCCAUAACACUGGUAAAAUCAGUUAAUUCAGUUUUACCCCACAUUAGUAAAAGUUUUGCCAUAAUUCGAGAGUAGCCCUGUACUAGGAUCAGAUGCAGACAGUUUGGCCAGUUGUAAUUUGAACCAGUACUGUCAAUCCAUUUUUCCCUGCGCUCCAUGCUACAAUGAAAAGGGGAUGAACUUACAUAUGCUGUUCUGAGCAACAUAUGAAGGAAAUAGAGGAUGUGUCAUUUUAGCUUUGUUAUCAGCAGCACUGUGAUAUGACAAGGUGUGAUCCAAAUAAGGGAAAGGCAAAGGCUGACAGUGGCAUAAACAGUGUAGGAAAUGGAAUGGAAAACAUACAUACAUUGUCAUCAGGGAAGAGAAGGAGGGAAGGGAGGGGAAGACAGAGAAAAGAGAGAGAACCAGACCAGUUUCUAGAGAAACUGGAGUAGGCAAGGUCCGCAAUUAUGCAUGAUUGCUGGGUAACUGCUCUUCAGGCCACGAUUAACUUGAGCCAAGUUAAAAUUACUUUAAUUAUGUUUUCAUUCCUUUCCCUGGGAAAAUUUUUGUUUCUUGACAAUCACAAAAUAUUUGUUAGAUAUUCAUAUAUUUGUUAGAUAUUCAUAGUAUUGAUGACUAUGUCAGGCUAUUGGUUGUUUGUGAAUGGUUGUUUUAUGUUGUUCUAUGAUGAUACAAAAAUAAAGUUAUUGUUAUAUUAUUA